ACUUUGUUUUCCCCCAAAAAAAUUUGUAUGCUUGAUAUGUUUUCUAUUCAAUCAUUAUUAGAAUUUUUGGCCCUCCAUUAGCUUCAUACAUUUCUUCCUUUCUUUACCAUAUAUUUCUAUUUGAUACAAUUUGAAUAUUAUAAGAUAUAUUUUUUGUGGGAUGGCCCCAAAGCCAAACUGCUUUCUCUAGGUCUACUUGCAGGGUCAGGCUAAUUCUUCUAGGACUGCCAAUGGGGCCAGACCUUUUAUAUGAAUGAAAGCAAAAGCUGCUUGAAGAACAUUACAGUGAGAUGUUCUUUAUAGAGCUGCUACAGGUUAGAGAUUUUGGCCGCAGAUGCUUUGUGAAGAUGUAGGGACAAAGGAAAAUUUAGAGCUCUUAUCUCUUAUCCUACUUGGUUGUAUGGGGCUGGUCUGAUUUUAGAAGCCCAAAAUGAUUUUAGAGAUUUUUGAAGUUACAAAACAUCAAGGCUCAGGUUUGUCAUGCAGCAAGGUGUAUUACUAUACAAAGGACACGUUCUCUCUAGACAUUCCCCAUUUAUCUCUUUGUUUCUCUAAGAGUUCCAUUCAAUCCCUAUAGGGGGUCAUUCGGUGUUACUGCACAUGUAUAGAUAGCUGGUUGUGAACGUUUAUUGGGUAGGCAUGGAGAAAACAGUAUGAAGUUUUGUGCGGACUUGUGAUGUGUGCCAGAGGCAGAAGCAUGUUGUCACAAGAAAUUAUCUGCCUUCUUGGAGUUCGCAAGACCAUCAUCAGUGACCGAGAUCCGUAGUUUGUUGGUAACUUUUGGAAAGACAUUUUCAUUCUACAAGGGACAAAACUCAACAUGAGUUCAGCCUAUCAGUCAGAAACAGAUGGUCAAACAGAAGUUUUGAAUAGGUUUUUGGAGGGAUAUCUAAGCUACUCUGCCUCAAAGAAGCCACACAAAUUGGGUCCAUUGGGACGAGUAUUGGAUAACUCCACCCACCAUAUCAACUGGUCAAACCCCUUUUGAAGACGUGUAUCUAGAAAACCACCAAAGUUGAUCAAAUUUCUCAGUAAUGAAACCAAAGUCGUUGUUGUGGCGCUUGGAUCAAGAGAAUGGGAUGAAGUUAUUGCUCAACUCAAGCUCCAAUUAACUAAGGCCUGAACUAAAAUGAAGCGGUAUGCAGAUAAGACAAGACAUGCAGUAAAUUUCCAAGGUUCCAGAUUGGGUUUCUCUCAAAUUGAGGUCUCAUAGGCAUCAGUCUGUUGCCAAAAGGAUUAGCCCAAAAUCAGCUGCCCCUUUUCAAUGGCCCUUUCCAAAAUUUGGCCAGAGUUGGAGAUGUGGUGUACAAGCUUCAGUUACCAACGGAAACGAGAAUCCGCCCAGUUUUGCAUGUGUCCCAACUUAAAGGAGCCGUAGGAAACUACCAAGUGCAGGCAGGUAGAGUUGUCACGUGGGGGUGGAAGUUCAACCUGAAUAUGAUGCUGAGUCUGAAUCAGUGAUGGGGCAGAGAAGCAUUACAAAGGAUGGAACUAUGGUACAGAAAAGCUUGAUCAAAUGGAAAGGCAGAUCGGUUGAAAAUGUAACAUGGGAGGAAGAUGCUACCAUUCGUAGUCGAUUCCCUGAGUUCAAGUUAAUUGUAUAGGGGGUGCUCUAUUGUUAGGGAUCUUGAAGUGGAGAUGCGUAAGCUAGUGACAAUAGUGGAUAUCGGCCCAAGUGGCAUUGGCAUGAUUAGAAUAUUAUAACUGCUACAAGUUUAGAAUAUUAUAACUUUAACUCAUUAUAAUAUCUACCAAAUACAAACCUAAUAAUGUGUACAGGUUUAAACAAUUUCACUUAAUAUUUAAUAAUGAAAUCAAGUUUAACAUUGGUA